GAGAACACAAGACAGAUGAGAGGAGAGGAUGGAAAGAGAGAGAAAGAGAGAUGAGAUUGAUGUGUGGAAUGGAUGAUUGAAUCUAAGGAUGGAUGUUGGAGAGGGAAAGGGAUAUAUCCAAAUCAGUCAGAAACUUGGAAAAAGGGAAUUAUUGAUGGUGUAAAGUGAUGAAUUGCAGAUAGAUAAUGGAAAGAUGGGAGGAAGGACGUCACGUAAUGUAAAGGAAAAAGAAGAAAUACGAAAAGAACAAAGAAAUGGAAUAAUGGAAAUAAGAUAGUAAUAAUGGAGAUGAAUGUAUGAUGGAUGAAUGAGUGGAUGAAUGAUACUAAAUCUGCUUCCUGCUCUCAGGAGUCCAAUACAACACAUGCCUUAAACCUUUCACAUUUGUCACUGAUAUUAGCAGUGUUGCAUAAUACGGAAAAUUGUCCAGUUAUCGAAUACUUCUAAGAAACUUGUGCAUAGUUUCUGUGACACUCCAUUAGCAGGUUCUGUCAUUAGCACAAUUCUUCUUCUUCUUUCAGCUUUGGCAGCAAAAGUGAGCUUCCAUGCCAACAACAUCCUACUGAACAGAACUCAAAAAAGGCAAGAGAAAACAGGACAUCCAUCUCAAAUAAAGCAGUCCCUUUUAAAGAUAUCACCUCGUUUGGCCUUGUAAAAGUAGCGCCUCUGUUCUGCCAGUCUGGCAAAGUUUGGAAAUGGUCAUCUCUCCUAGGUUUCAUCAAAUUCAUCAUUUCACAUAAUGUGGAAUAGUUGAUCAUGGUUAGCCACGAAGGGCAACUGAAUUAAGGGCAACUGGACUUCUGGAGGCCAUGAGAACUAAUCAAGUGGCAUAAAUGGCCUUAAUAACAACCUGGGUCUCCCCAUUAGUCAGAACUGAGGGAGUCCCUCUUUUGGGUGAGAGGAGAAACAUAUUCAGGUAUCUAAAGCCAAGACCAGUUGCCCUUGAUUCAACCCUUCCUUUCUAACCAUGACCUGGAUGACUGCUGCAGCAGGAUGGUGUGUGAGAGACACGAAAUAAACCCAGCGCCCCAUGGUAAUGAAGGGACAGUGCACCAGCGUCAUUUACUGAUGUGUUUUUAAUAGUUUUUGGACAACAGUGUGACACAGCUAUAUCAGGCCUUGGCUACACCAUUAAAGCUUUUUAUAGCAUUUGCUGACAGUAGGAAAAAUAUAAUAUAGAGUAUUACUAGCUCUGUCCUUUAAGACACUCAUCACUGUGUUAGACGCUGCAUUACAAGGUGGUUAUUUUCCAUAGCGCGGUGCAGACAGCCACCCUUCCCAGCUCAAACACACACACACACAGUCUCUGUUGACAGGGCCAGCGGAAGUGCCAGACGUCAUUAGCAGAGACAAGGCCGCAGAGGAACACAAAGGAGCUCUGUCACUGAGAUAUGAAGGGAGAGAGAGAGGGAGGGGGACAGAGAGAGAAAGUUUGGGUGAGGGGGAGAUAGUGGAGCGAAAUGGAAGAAGGGAAGAGGAUUGGGAAAAGCAGGACAGAGCGGUGAACUGGAGAGAAAGAAGAGAAGCAGAUAAACAUCCACUCAACCCUCAGAAGAACUUCCUCCCCAGCAAUCCACCCUUUCAACACCCCUGGGCUGACGAAGGAGACGACACUUAACUCCCAGUCCUUUUGUCUCCUGCAGUAAAGUGUGGAGGUUGACUCAUUAAUCCCAGGUUCCUCUCUCCGUGGCAGAGUCAAAGGUUGGACAUGUUGAUGUUCAGCAGCGAUCAUUUCAGUCUCAGAAGCUGGAGUUUCCCUGAAUGCACCAACAAAAAACAGCAACUCAAAAACAUCUCUACUUGCAGCUGCAUUACUGAACCGGCCACAAGGACUGAACGUCUCUGGCUUUUUCUUGUUUUCAUACAGCUGGGGACCACUUCUAAACCUUUGGAAAGACGUCUCUGAAUUGGUCACUUGUGGUCCAGAAUGCCGCUGCAAAGUCAGACAACGUCCUCUAAAAAGUCUUAUGUAACACAAAUCUUGAUUUUUUUUUCUCAGCAUUAAAUUCAGAGGUUUUAUUAGCUAUUGCAGCUUUAUAUCAUCAGCAGGUCUCUGAGGUCUUCUGAUCAAGGCUUUGGGCUGAGAACUUCUUUAGACUUGAGAGCUUCACCUCUUAUUGUGAUUCUCUUUGUGAUGUUUUUUCUAGAAAGGUGUUAAUAAAGUUAUCUUACUUGUUUACUUA